AAAUUUUCAAAGCUGUAGGGGUCACACGGUUAGGAGACACGCCUGUGUCUCAGGCCAUGUGGGUAUUCAAAAUAGGGACACACGGCCGUGUCCCAACCCGUGUCUGUGCCCAUGUAACUCUCUAAAUUAGACACACAGCCAAGCCACACGCCCGUGUGUUAGGCCGUGUAAAAGCCUGACUUGCAACCCUUUGAAACCUACAGGGGACACACGACUAUGUCAACUGGCCGUGUGUCAUACACAGCUGAGACAAAUACUCGUA
rnacentral:lncRNA from 1 species